rnacentral:rRNA from 1 species
GACGAACGCUGGCGGCGUGCUUAACACAUGCAAGUCGAGCGGUAAGGCCCUUUCGGGGGUACGACGAGCGGCGAACGGGUGAGUAACACGUGGGUGACCUGCCCUCAGCUCUGGGAUAAGCCUGGGAAACCGGGUCUAAUACCGGAUACGACUCCAUGACGCAUGUUGUGGGGUGGAAAGCCUUGUGCGGCUGAGGAUGGGCCCGCGGCCU